rnacentral:rRNA from 1 species
GGGUCAGUAGGUUGGUCGUGCCACCGGUACGUACUGGUCUCACUGAUUCCUCCUUCCUGAAGAACCGUAAUGCCAUUAAUUUGGUGUUGCGGGGAAACAGGACUGUUACUUUGAAAAAAUUAGAGUGUUUAGAGCGAGCUAACGCUUGAAUACAUUAGCAUGGAAUAAUGAAAUAGGACGAUCGAUCCUAUUUUGUUGGUUUCUAGGAUUGACGUA